UGUGCCUUUGGGAUACUUUGAGGUGUUUUUUGGGGUAAUUUGGGGUGUUUGGGGAUAAUUUGGGGUUCUCUGUUCCUUUGGAAUAAUUUGGGGUGAACAUUUCUGAAUUUUUGAGGGAACAUUCCCAAAUUUUGGAGGAAACAUUCCCAGGUUUUGGGGACCAUUCCCAGGUUUUUUGGGAACCAUUCCCAGAUUCUGGGGGGAACAUUCCCUGGUGUUUGGGCUACCAUUCCUAGGUUUUCUGGGGGCCAUUCCCAGGUUUUCUGGAGGAACGUUCCUGAAUUUUUGGGGGCAAUAUUCCUGGGUUUUUUGGGGGACUAUUUCUGAAUUUCUGGGGAAUUUUUCUGAAUUUUUGAGGGAACAUUUGCAGAAUUUUUGGGGAAACAAUUUUGGGUUUUUGGAGACCAUUGUUAGGUUUUCUGGGGACUGUUCCUAGGCUUUUGAGGGAACAUUCCUGGGGUUUUUUAGGGAACAUUUCUGAAUUUUGGGGGAGAUUUCUGAAUUUUUGAGGGAAGACUCCUGAACUUUUGGGGGUACAAUUCCCAAAUUUUUGUGGUACCAUUCUCGGAAUUUUUGGGGACCAUUCCCCUGUUUUUUGGGGUACUAUUCCCAGGUUUUUGGGGGUAUCAUUCCCACAUGUUUUGGGGUACCAUUCCUGAGUUUUUUGUGGUACAAUUCCCGAAUUUCUGGGGUACCACUCCCAGGUUUUUGGGGUACCAUUCCUAGAUUUUUUUCAGGACCAUUCCCUGAUUUUUUGGUACUAUUCCCAAACUUUUUAGGGUACCAUUCCUGAAUUUUUGGGGUACUAUUCCUGGUUUUUGGGCUAUCUGUGGCCCUAUUCCCCCGUGCCAGGUUCCUGGGGUUCAAGGAGGUGUGCCUGGUGCCCGGCGCCACGACAUCGCCUUGGUGGAGUUGGACACCGAGGUGCAGGCGGGCACCGCCCACGAGGCCCUGCAGGGCUCCAAGAUCACCCAGAGCAAUGCCACAAAAAUCUCCUUCACCAAAGAGUGACCCCAAAACCUUCCCAAACACCCCCAAACCCAAAAAAAACCCGCCUGGAAUACCCCAAAAUCCCAGAGAAAUGCCUCAAAAACCUCUCCUGAAUAUCCCAGAACUGCCCCAAAACAUCCCAGAAUCCCAGAGAAAUGGCUGAAAACAACCCCUCAUAAUCCCAAAACUGCCUCAAAACACCCCAAAUCCCUUCAAGCUGCCCCAAAAUCAACUAGAAACACCCCAAAAUCCCUCCAAACCACCCUAAAAUGCCUCCAAACCACCUCAAAAUCCCUUAAAGCUGCCCCCAAAUAUCCCAGAAUUGCUCAAAACCAGCCCAAAACACCAAAAAAUCCUCCAAAACUGCCCCCAUAUCCCACAGAACCGCCCCCAAAUUUCAUAGAAAUACCCCAAAAUCCUAGAAAAGUGCUCCAAAAAUAGUCCUGACCCCUCCCUAAACCUACCACCGGCCACCACUCUCCCAGGUAAAUUCAGUGUGGCCCAAAUCCUCCUUUUUUUAUCCCAAAUCCUCCAUUUUUUAUCCCAAAUCCUUCUUUUACCCCAAAUCCUCCUUUUUCCAACCCCACAAUCCUUUCUGUACCCCAGAUGUCCUUUUUAGACCCCAAAUUCUUUUCCCACCUCAAAUUCUCCUUUUCACGCCCCAAAAUCUCCUUUUCCCACCCCAAAAUUUCCUUUUUCAACCCCAAAUCCCCUUUUCUCACUGAAAUCCUGACCUCAAAUCCUCAGUUCUCACCCUAAAUCCCUUUUUCCUUCCCCAAAUCUCCUUUUCCAUUCCAAAAUCUCAUUUUUCCAUCCCAAAUCCUCCUUUGUCCUGGUUUGAAGGACAGAUGUCUGCCAAAAAAGGCAGAAGUUCCUCUUUGAAAUGGUGAAUGUAAACCCCCCUCCCUCCAAAUUAUUAUUAUUUUAAUUUUGAAAUUAAGGGGCUUUCAGGCAAAGAUAGGGGAAUUAGGAAUAAGAAUUCUUUACUAGGAAAAUUAAAAUAGAAAUACAGUAUUACGAAAAGCAAUCCCAACCCUGACAGAGUCAGAAUACAACCUAAUACCCCGUCAGUCAGGGUGUUGGUAGCAGUCCCAUUCAAUGGUGGCUGCAUCCUCCUGCAGUGGCAGAUGUGGUUCAGUUGGAGCAGUGCUCCUGUAGAAGGUGCAGUUUUCCUCUGAAGGUCCAGAGAUUAUGUGGAAAGGUCUGGUGUUCCUCUGGAAUCCAGUGGAAAGAAGGAUAACUUGCUGACCAAAAUCUCAGUUUUUAUCCAGGUAGGAAAGGCUUGGCUCCUCCCCCUGGCUGGAGCAUCUCCCAAUGGGAUGAUGUAAUUUUAUCAGUCAUAAAGUGGGACUUAAUGGACCAGCAGCAGAUGAUAUCCUCCUGGAGGGAGGAUGGGUUGUGGAAAAGAUAAAGAGGAUUGCCCCAUCUUGUCUUAAAGAUGGCCCAUUAAUAGAUGGUAUGUGCCAUGGAGAUAAGGGUCACUGCCCCACCCAGCUUCAACAGAUGGUGAUAGAAUACACAUUUCUGGCCACAUCAACCCAACACAUUAUCCACCCCUUAUUCUAUUGCCAUUUGCAUAAUGAAAA